rnacentral:rRNA from 1 species
GAACUUAAGCAUAUCAAUAAGCGGAGGAAAAGAAACCAACAGGGAUUGCUUCAGUAACGGCGAGUGAAGUGGCAACAGCUCAAAUUUGAAAUCUGGUUCUUCUGGGGCCCGAGUUGUAAUUUGUAGAGGAGUUCUUCGGGUUUGGCCCCGGCCUAAAUUCCUUGGAACAGGAUGUCAUAGAGGGUGAGAAUCCCGUAUGUGGCUGGAGGUCUAUACCCAUGUGAAGUUCCUUCGACGAGUCGAGUUGUUUGGGAAUGCAGCUCAAAAUGGGUGGUAAGUUUCAUCUAAAGCUAAAUACUGGCGGGAGACCGAUAGCGCACAAGUAGAGUGAUCGAAAGAUGAAAAGCACUUUGGAAAGAGAGUUAAAAAGUACGUGAAAUUGUUGAAAGGGAAGCGCUUGCGACCAGACUUGCCCUUAGUUGAUCAACCGGUGUUCUUCACCGGUGCACUCGGCUAAGGUCAGGCCAGCAUUGGUUUAGGCGGUUGGAAAAAGAUCAUAGGAAUGUGGCUNCCUUCUGGGGAGUGUUAUAGCCUGUGGUGUCAUGCAACCAGUUUAGACCGAGGACCGCGCCUUUGUGCUUAGGAUGCUGGCGUAAU